rnacentral:rRNA from 1 species
AUGAACGCUAGCUACAGGCUUAACACAUGCAAGUCGAGGGGCAGCAUGGUCUUAGCUUGCUAAGGCCGAUGGCGACCGGCGCACGGGUGAGUAACACGUAUCCAACCUGCCGUCUACUCUUGGACAGCCUUCUGAAAGGAAGAUUAAUACAAGAUGGCAUCAUGAGUCCGCAUGUUCACAUGAUUAAAGGUAUUCCGGUAGACGAUGGGGAUGCGUUCCAUUAGAUAGUAGGCGGGGUAACGGCCCACCUAGUCUUCGAUGGAUAGGGGUUCUGAGAGGAAGGUCCCCCACAUUGGAACUGAGACACGGUCCAAACUCCUACGGGAGGCAGCAGUGAGGAAUAUUGGUCAAUGGGCGAGAGCCUGAACCAGCCAAGUAGCGUGAAGGAUGACUGCCCUAUGGGUUGUAAACUUCUUUUAUAAAGGAAUAAAGUCGGGUAUGUAUACCCGUUUGCAUGUACUUUAUGAAUAAGGAUCGGCUAACUCCGUGCCAGCAGCCGCGGUAAUACGGAGGAUCCGAGCGUUAUCCGGAUUUAUUGGGUUUAAAGGGAGCGUAGAUGGAUGUUUAAGUCAGUUGUGAAAGUUUGCGGCUCAACCGUAAAAUUGCAGUUGAUACUGGAUAUCUUGAGUGCAGUUGAGGCAGGCGGAAUUCGUGGUGUAGCGGUGAAAUGCUUAGAUAUCACGAAGAACUCCGAUUGCGAAGGCAGCCUGCUAAGCUGCAACUGACAUUGAGGCUCGAAAGUGUGGGUAUCAAACAGGAUUAGAUACCCUGGUAGUCCACACGGUAAACGAUGAAUACUCGCUGUUUGCGAUAUACUGCAAGCGGCCAAGCGAAAGCGUUAAGUAUUCCACCUGGGGAGUACGCCGGCAACGGUGAAACUCAAAGGAAUUGACGGGGGCCCGCACAAGCGGAGGAACAUGUGGUUUAAUUCGAUGAUACGCGAGGAACCUUACCCGGGUUUGAACGUAGUCAGACCGACCUUGAAAGAGGUCUUCUAGCAAUAGCUGAUUACGAGGUGCUGCAUGGUUGUCGUCAGCUCGUGCCGUGAGGUGUCGGCUUAAGUGCCAUAACGAGCGCAACCCUUGUUGUCAGUUACUAACAGGUUCCGCUGAGGACUCUGACAAGACUGCCAUCGUAAGAUGUGAGGAAGGUGGGGAUGACGUCAAAUCAGCACGGCCCUUACGUCCGGGGCUACACACGUGUUACAAUGGGGGGUACAGAGGGCCGCUACCACGCGAGUGGAUGCCAAUCCCCAAAACCUCUCUCAGUUCGGACUGGAGUCUGCAACCCGACUCCACGAAGCUGGAUUCGCUAGUAAUCGCGCAUCAGCCACGGCGCGGUGAAUACGUUCCCGGGCCUUGUACACACCGCCCGUCAAGCCAUGGGAGCCGGGGGUACCUGAAGUGCGUAACCGCGAGGAGCGCCCUAGGGUAAAACUGGUGACUGGGGCU